GCUCAAUAGUCUAGUGGAUGAGGAAUUGAACUGACAAAGCUGAUAAGUCAUUUCAAGUCUUGGGUUCGAUUCCCAGCUUGAGCA